rnacentral:rRNA from 1 species
AUGUCUGGCGAUGUCCAAUCUGAAGUCCCCCAGCCACCUUCAUCUUCUGUAAAGCCCGCCUCAACUUCGUGCCGAAAGAAGAACUCCGGCACCUCGUUUGUCACGCAACUGAGGGAUCACUUCCACGAGUUUAUUCAUGCCUCCAUGGACGAACACAGGACAUGCUUAACAAACACUGUCAAGAAAUUGUUUGCGAUGUCAAAGGGAGUCGCAGAGGGGACUGCUGGGGCAAAAGAAGCUGGAGCUGAAAGCGUUUUGCCACUUCAGAGUGAAGUGUCACGGUAG